UACGAGGGGGGCGAGCGUUGUUCGGAAUUAUUGGGUUUAAAGGGUGCGUAGGCGGUCUUAUAAGUCAGUGCUGAAAUAUCCCGGCUUAACCGGGAGGGUGGCAUUGAUACUGCAGGGCUUGAGUAUGGGAGAGGUGAGUGGAAUUCCUGGUGUAGCGGUGAAAUGCGUAGAUAUCAGGAGGAACACCUGUGGCGAAAGCGGCUCACUGGACCAUUACUGACGCUGAGGCUCGAAAGCUAGGGGAGCAAACAGG
rnacentral:rRNA from 1 species